UACGAAGGGGGCUAGCGUUGCUCGGAAUUACUGGGCGUAAAGCGCUCGCAGGCGGUUUGUCGCGUCGGGCGUGAAAGACCCCGGCUCAACUGGGGAGGGUCGUGCGAUACGGGCGAACUGGAGGCCAGUAGGGGGAUGCGGAAUUCCGGGUGUAGUGGUGGAAUGCGUAGAGAUCCGGAGGAACACCAGCGGCGAAGGCGGCAUCCUGGACUGGUCCUGACACUCAGGAGCGAAAGCGUGGGGAGCGAUCCGG
rnacentral:rRNA from 1 species